GUGGGGAAUAUUGGGCAAUGGGGGCAACCCUGACCCAGCAACGCCGCGUGAGGGAAGAAGGUUUUCGGAUUGUAAACCUCUGUCCUAUGGGAAGAAGGAAGUGACGGUACCAUAGGAGGAAGCCCCGGCUAACUACGUGCCAGCAGCCGCGGUAAUACGUAGGGGGCGAGCGUUGUCCGGAAUUACUGGGCGUAAAGGGUGCGCAGGUGGCCUGACAAGUCAGAUGUGAAAUACCGAUGCUUAACGUCGGGGCUGCAUUUGAAACUAUGAGGCUGGAGUGCAGUAGAGGGAAGCGGAAUUCCUAGUGUAGCAGUGAAAUGCAUAGAUAUUAGGAGGAACACCAGUGGCGAAGGCGGCUUUCUGGACUGUAACUGACACUGAGGCACGAAAGCGUGGGGAGCAAACAGGAUUAGAUACCCUAGUAGUCC
rnacentral:rRNA from 1 species